rnacentral:rRNA from 1 species
UACGUAGGGGGCAAGCGUUGUCCGGAUUUACUGGGCGUAAAGAGCGUGUAGGCGGCCAAGCAGGUCCGUUGUGAAAACUGGAGGCUUAACCUCCAGACGUCGAUGGAAACCAUCUGGCUAGAGUCCGGAAGAGGAGAGUGGAAUUCCUGGUGUAGCGGUGAAAUGCGCAGAUAUCAGGAAGAACACCCGUGGCGAAGGCGGCUCUCUGGUACGUGACUGACGCUGAGACGCGAAAGCGUGGGGAGCAAACAGG